rnacentral:rRNA from 1 species
UGAGGAAUAUUGGACAAUGGGUGAGAGCCUGAUCCAGCCAUCCCGCGUGAAGGAUGACGGUCCUAUGGAUUGUAAACUUCUUUUGUACAGGAAUAAACCUAGAUACGUGUAUUUAGCUGAAGGUACUGUACGAAUAAGCACCGGCUAACUCCGUGCCAGCAGCCGCGGUAAUACGGAGGGUGCAAGCGUUAUCCGGAUUUAUUGGGUUUAAAGGGUCCGUAGGCGGACUGAUAAGUCAGUGGUGAAAUCUCAUAGCUUAACUAUGAAACUGCCAUUGAUACUGUCAGUCUUGAGUAAAUUUGAAGUGGCUGGAAUAAGUAGUGUAGCGGUGAAAUGCAUAGAUAUUACUUAGAACACCAAUUGCGAAGGCAGGUCACUAAGAUUUAACUGACGCUGAGGGACGAAAGCGUGGGUAGCGAACA